rnacentral:rRNA from 1 species
UACGUAGGGGGCAAGCGUUGUCCGGAAUCAUUGGGCGUAAAGCGCGUGUAGGCGGCUCGAUAAGUCCGCUCUGAAAGUCCAGGGCUCAACCCUGGGAUGCGGGUGGAUACUGUCGGGCUCGAGUCCGGAAGAGGCGAGUGGAAUUCCCGGUGUAGCGGUGAAAUGCGCAGAUAUCGGGAGGAACACCAAUGGCGAAGGCAGCUCGCUGGGACGUGACUGACGCUGAGACGCGAAAGCGUGGGGAGCAAACAGGG